AGCGCCUGUUACCUUUUUUGCUAAGGUCUUAAUGCAGCGAGUCUGCACCCUAGAUAUUUCCUGGGACGAUCAACUGCCAGACGAGAUCAUUAAGCUCUGGGAUUCAUUCGCAGAGACUUUCAAACUCCUUAAACUGCCACAAAUACCCAGAUUCAUACUCAGCACAAACGCAUACAUAUGCGAGAUUAUGGGAUUCUGCGAUGCGUCUGAAAACGGUUACGCCGCCGUUAUAUACCUUCGAGUUCAGCACUCUUCCGGCGAAGUCAGCGUUCAUCUGCUUCGUGGCCGGUCAAGAGUAGCUCCUUUACGUCAAAAGCUGACCAUUCCACGUCUCGAGCUCUGCGGGGCCGUGCUCCUUGCUCGACUGAUUGGUCACUAUAUGAGCCUUUUACAAGGCAAAAUCAACUUAAGUGGUGCCACUGCUUGGUGCGACUCUACCAUCGUGCUUGCGUGGUUGCGCACUCCACCGCAUAAGCUGCAGACCUUUGAGGGAAAUCGUGUUUCCCAGGUCCAAGGCCUAAUACCAUCCGCUGGGUGGCGAUAUGUACCCUCCGCGUCCAAUCCCGCGGAUUGCGCGAGUAGGGGCAUUACUGCCGAGAGCCUUGUGGGUCACCCGUUGUGGUGGUCUCCCUUUUGGUUAAGGGCUGAUGCAUCCACCUGGCCCACAACCCCAUGCGUCGAAACGGAAGCAUUGCCUGGUCUCAAACACGACGCUGUCUCUUCAAUGGUAGCUGCAGCCGAGGUUUCCUUCAUGCACUCACUCAUCACAAGCUACAGUUCUUUACCACCGUUGCAACGUUUAGUUGCAUGGCUCCUACGUUUUUACCACAACGCUCGACCAGGCGGCGUUAGGUCCGCAGGAGCUCUUAAGGUUCAUGAACUCAACAAUUCUCUCAAAACUCUUGUCAAAUUGGUGCAGAGUGAAGUCUUCGCCGACCAAAUUUCAGCCAUCAAUAAAGGCCGAUCCUUGUCAUGUCCGCUUCGGCGUCUCGAUCCCUUCAUUGAUGCAAAUGGUCUUCUUCGCGUUGGUGGAAGACUCAGGCACUCCAACUUACCUUACGAUGUCAAACAUCCAUUGUUGCUUCCAAAAGCGCAUCACUUGACUAUCCUGAUAAUUAACCACUAUCAUCUGACAUAUGUCCAUGCUGGUCCCUCCAUACUUGUUAACAUUCUACGCCAGAAAUUCUGGAUUUUAGCUGCUCGACAAGUCGUACGCCGUGUGGUCUUCAAGUGCUAUCGUUGUCACAGGCUCAAGACGAAACCUCUGGAACCCUUUAUGGGCAAUCUUCCGUCUAGUCGGGUGCAACUAAGUCAUCCAUUCACUCGUGUGGGGGUCGAUUUUGCGGGUCCCUUUAUAAUAAAGACUUCCACCAUGCGGAAGGUAAAGACACUCAAAGCGUACCUUUGUGUCUACAUUUGUCUCGCCGUAAAGGCGGUACACCUCGAAGUGACUUCAGAUUUAACAACCGAAGCAUUUCUGGCUUCUUUUCAUAGGUUUGUUGCGAAAAGGGGAAUGCCGUCGGAUGUUUACUCUGACUGUGGUAAAAACUUCCAAGGGGCCGCUAACUACCUUGACAGACAACAAGUUAGGGAUAAAUUAACUAAAUUCGGUGUCAGAUGGCAUAUGAAUCCUCCUUACGCUCCACAUAUGGGUGGGCUGUGGGAGUCGACGGUAAAGUCAGCUAAGCAAUUGCUGCUUCGAACGGUAGGAGAGCAGGUGCUCACUUUCGAAGAACUGUGCACAGUGUUCGCUAGGGCUGAGGCAGUUCUUAACUCUAGGCCGUUAUGUCCAUUGACAGACGACACAUCUAAUCUUGACACGCUUACACCCGGUCAUUUCCUUAUUGGUCAGCCAAUGGUUAGCCUCCCCGAGGAUACCGUCGAUGACAAACACAUCUCACCGUUGAGGCGUUGGAAACUUGUACAACAAAUUUCACAACAGUUCUGGCGAAGAUGGCAGAGCGAAUAUCUUCACAACUUACAGCAGCGCUCUAAGUGGUGCAAACAUACCCCCAAUCUUCAAUUGGGCGAUCUAGUUUUGAUCAGAGAAGAGAACACCUCACCCCUUAGAUGGCGUAAAGGUCGAAUAUCCGCUCUCCAUCCCGGCUCUGACGGUGUGGUACGCGUAGUCGAGAUAAAAACCAGUAACGGGUUCUGCACCAGAUCGAUCACUAAGGUGUGUCCAUUACCCAAAUGCGACACAAAGCAACAAAAUUAACUUCAAAAAUCAUCCUUAAAAAUUUAUACUUAGAUAUAGUUUAGUUUGUAUUCAAUCUUACGGUACAGCAUGCAUAUAACUCUUGACUUAAUUAGACUUAGGCUACUUUAACUAAUUUAUACCCUAGAAUCUACUAAAGAGUUUAGCAACUCUUUGGGAGGCGGUAUGUCAGAUUUGAUACGUAGGAUCUUCGCAAAUGCACAAAUUAUCUACUCACCUCCUCUCUAUUCCUAUCCUAAAAAACGCACUGAUUUGAGGGUAGGAUAUUCCCCGUUUUGACGGGCCCUGUUGCAACUACGCCGCGCUAGCGAACGGUCGCUUUUGACGCGAUAUCACCGUAGCAGUUGUCCAACGGCAGUACGGAAAAUCAGCAAUACGGAAAAUCAUCUUAGCAUCUCAUCUGUCUGUGAGAGACCAGAGUGGGCGGCGAGACAACCCCUUAACACCUGGGCAUACGCGUAAACACCAGCGACCGACACAUCUAUCGAGGAACAACUCAAGGUUACGAGUAAAGUGGAACGAAGGAAGAUUAUCUGAAAAAGAUGUAAAGCUGAUUGGCCUUUUGAAGUGGCUUUAAUCCUACGUUUGACUUUAUGACCUACUAUG